rnacentral:lncRNA from 1 species
CAUUUGACCACUUUCAUUUAUGUUUGCAGAUAUUCCGAAGAAGAAAUCCGACAGAAGGUUGGAACAUUUCGGCAGAUGCUGAUGGAAAAGGAAGGCGUGAUAACUCGAGAAGGCUUGCACCCACGUCCACCGGUUAGGCUGCUUCCUCACGGGGAUGAAGAUCACGUGGGAAAUGCUGCGUACGUCGAGGGCUUUGAGGAAGACUAUGAUUGGGAUGGAGAAUAUUACGAGCAAGAUUCAGCUGCCUACGAUGACUGCAGAUCCAAGAGGAAAUCCAGCAGUUCACCUUCUCCUCGGCCAAAAAAGAGGAAAAAGAAGAAGGCAAGAAGACACAGUCGAGCUGACAGCCCGUCUCCAACCAGCAGAGACAAGAGGAAGAAAAGCGGAAAGAAACACAAGAGAGACAGGUCCACAUCUGGCUCAAGGAGGAAGAGGAGACACAGAUCUGGGAGCCCCAAAAACAAACACAAAGACAAGAACAAACAGAAGAAGAGGUGUUCAGUGGAGUCUCCGGGCAGGAGUUCUCAGCACAGAGGCAGCUGCUGUAGUUCCCGCAGCGGAUCCGUCUCCUCCACCGCCAGCAUCUCCAAAUCACCCAGCAGAUCAAGUGCAAAGUGCAGGAACGACAGGCACAAACAGGAAGGAAGUCACUCCAGCCACAGCCCACCGCCGUCCCCCACCACUGACCAGCCAAUCACGUGGCAGAAUGGGAACCACAGCAUCCGUGUACGCAAUGGCAAAGAUUCAGAAGCCAAUCACACGGAGGGGAAUAAAGGGAACGAUGUAUGUAGUCUCCUCUACUUUACCUUCAUCUGUUCUCUGCCGUUUACACUAAUAAUCCCUCAAACACUCUCUCUCUCACACACACACACACACACACACGCCAACUGAUUCAGUCAUAUCUGUGUGAGCUGACUCUAUAUCUCUUUUCCCUCUUUGGCUCCAUUUCGUGAGUUUUUCUGUUCUCAAGCCAUUUAUGUGUUUGUUGGGAAGGGUUUUUAUUUUGUCGAGACAGAUGUCCAUUAUUUUCUUUCUGUAAUAAUGUCAUGCUUUAUUUCACACACAAGCCAUUUUUCUUACAAUGGAAACUAAAAUAUAACCAAUUGUUGAGCAUGUGGGAUUUCAUGGAAGCACCAGCUCCAUCCCGAAGGCACAAACUGACGGUUGUGGCAUCUUGCGACAAUUUUUUACAUAAAGCAUCUAUUGCUAAUAAUUCAAUCGCUGGUGUUGGAUAACAUCCCACGAAAGAGACAUUUGAUGCCUCAACCAGUUAAAUUAAAGAUAUUUUGGUAACACUUUUGCUUCAUUUGUUAACAUUAGUUAACUAAAUUAGUUAACAUGAACUAACAAUGAACAAAGUAAAUGGGUGCCGUCAGAAAGAGAGUCCAAACAGCUGAUAAAAACAUCACAAUAGUAAUCCACACAACUCCAGUCCAUCAGUUACUUAUCUUUAGAAGCC